UCAUAUUUUCUAGAGAUGAGUAUCACAAAAUAUUCAUCUACUUUUUACAGAGUUUCUUUCGAGUUUCAGCACAAUGUUUGUGGUAGAUCAAUAUAUGCCGAGGGUACAGUUGGUGCUGUCUUGUUUUUAGCAAAGAAGAUCCAGCAGAAGGCAGACCAGCAUAUACCCAAUAUGAUUGAUGUAUUGCAUGAGGUUAGCAUGCAUUAAUACUAGUUUCAUGCUGAGGUUUCUUGUGCGGCAUUUAUCUUUCAGAUGUUGUAUCUCCAUCCAACUCAGGACUCUGGUUUUUAGAAUUCUUUAUACUUAUCGUUGCUUUAUAUGGCAAUGGAGUAGAGAAAAUUGCAUGACUUGUUUUGAAGAUGGAUCAUUAAGCUUGAGCAGCUGCAGCUUCUCUUUGAGAUGUUAAGAUUUCGAUCAUUUGCCAUGCGAAGCACGUCUUAAAAUCAGAUAGUGCAAAGUAGAGUAGAAUAGUUUUGUAAUUUUCCAGCAACUCUCUCAUACUCAGCAUUGUCAGCAACUACUGUAGUGUUUGAGCCUGCAGCUAGGAAGCCAUAUGGAAGUGUCCUGCUUUUCUCAUUAAUGAAGUUUGAUGUUCAAA